AAUUCUCUGUUUGAUUGUUUACUGUUUUAGUGCAUAUACAUUGUUUCUACUAGUCUUCAAGCUAAUUCGCCUCCUCCGUUUAUUGAACAGUUUACGUUGCAGAGGAAUGUGACAUGCAAAAGUUAUAAUACAAAAAUUAAGCGUUCUUAUUUUCACACUAUACAUUUUUCUUUUCAGGAAACUUUUGGUUUCCACUGAUAUUAGCUGUCCUUGGGAAGUUAGGCGCAACGGCAUCAUUUGAUGGUGUUUAUCUGACAUCAGCAGAAAUAUUUCCAACAGCAGUACGAAACGGUGGCAUUGGAGCAGCUUCAUCAUUUGCUCGAGUUGGUGGUAUCAUUUCAGCACCGAUGCUUGGGCUUGCUAUAUACGGUUCUUGGAUACCGCUAAGCAUCUAUGGAGUCUUUGGAAUUGUUGCUGGUUUGCUGGUCCUUUUACUUCCUGAAACGAAGGAUGCUUGUUUACUUCAAACACUUGAAGAUAUGGAUAAUUUGUAGAUUUGUAGAAAAUCUUUUGCGGCAUUUUCAAGUUUAAUGUAAACAAACGUGAAAUGUCGAAACAUUUAAUAUCACAUUUACGUCAAUAUAUUGCUUUAGUUUAGAUAUUUGCUAAUUAUUCAUUACAUUUAUUUUUUAUUAUUACAAAUGUACAAAUCUCAGACUUUCAAUAAAGGAAUAAAUAUACGACGAGCUGACUGGCAACAUUGGGAAGCGAUUAAGUUCUGUAACAGAAUCCUUUCGAAUGGAACGGGCGCCAAGACAGUGGAAUAUAAGAACUCGAUUUGAUUUAUGUUCUCAAAUAUUUUCAGUGUCAUAAAUUACCUGUGUGCUUCAUAGUUGAGUAUAUCUUCGAAAUAUUUGACUCUCUGUCAGUCGUUAGUUACAUGGUAACGAAGGUGAUUGUUUA